rnacentral:rRNA from 1 species
UACAGGGGGUGCAAGCGUUGUUCGGAAUCACUGGGCGUAAAGGGAGCGUAGGCGGAUCCACAAGACAGAGGUUAAAUGUUCGGGCUCAACCUGAAAUCUGCCUUUGUGACUGUGGAUCUUGAGUAUGGCAGAGGCUAGUGGAAUUACCUGUGUAGCGGUGGAAUGCGUAGAUAUAGGUAAGAACACCAGAGGCGAAGGCGACUAGCUGGGCCAAUACUGACGCUGAGGCUCGAAAGUGUGGGGAGCAAACAGG